CACUGCUGGGUCCAGGGAUAUGUCACAAUCCCUUCUGUGGGCUGGGCAGUGCAGGAGCACCAAAUCACUCUGGUGCUGGGAAAGUCAUAUGUCAUUAUCAUACCAGAAGGAAUGUUCAGACACAAGAUUAGGCAUCUAGACUGGAAAGAAUCGAUACAUCAAAAACAUGACUAGACCGUGCAUGGUGGCUCAUACCUGCAGUCCCAGCAGGUUAGGCGGCCAUGGAGGAUACCUGGAACCCAGGAGUUGAAGACUAUUCUGGGGGAAUCAUGAUAUCAGUAAGAAGAAGCAUAAUUCAAGCCGCAGUGGCUCAGGACAGUUGUCUUGGCGCUUGAGGAGGCACAACAUCAAGUGCUGACGCAUUUCAUCACCCCUGCUUAGGCUACUUGAAAGCCCUGGGCCCCCUUGUUCCUUAGACCCGUGAUUUGCUCGACCCUAUCAAUAACUGUGGAUGGCUCAUCCUACUUACAGUGCCCCCCUGCUUUGUAUCCAAUCAAAGUCAGUGUGUCCAGGCACUCGGGGCCACUGCCAGUCUCAUGAACUGGUGGCAGUGGUCCCCUGGACACAACCCUUUUCCCUUGAUCUCAGUGUAUUGUGUCUUUAUUUCUACAGUUUCUCGUCUCCGCACCAGUAGAGAACAUCCUUUAGACCAAGUAGGGCUGGACCCUACAGCGAAACCCCAUCUUCACUAAAAAUACAAAAAUUAGCUGGGCGUGGAGUCUUGUGCCUGGAAUCCCAGCUACUCGGGAGGCUGAGGCAGAAGAAUCACUUGAACCCGGGAUGUGGAGGUUUCAGUGAGCCAAGAUCAUGACAUUUGCACUCCAGCUUGGGGAACAAGAGCAAAACUCCAAGAAAAAAAAUCAUCACACUGUCUUCAACAAUGGCUGAACUAAUUUACACUCCCACCAACAGUAUACAAACAUUUCUUUUUUUCCACAACCUAACCAGCAGCUGUUAUUUUGUUAACUUACUAAAAAUAGUCUUUCUGACUGCCGUGAGAUAAUCUCUUAUUGCAAUUAUGAUUUGCAUUUCUUUCAUAAUCAGUGAUUGUUGACCACAGGUAGGUUUUCUUUUAAUACACUUCUGUUCAUGUUCUUCCCCAGCUCUUUUUUUUUUUUUUUCUGAGAUGCAAUAUUGGCUGGGCGUGGUGGCUCAUGCCUGUAAUCCAAGCACUUUGGAGGCCAAGGCAGGCGGAUCACCUGAGGUCCAGUGUUCAAGACCAGCCUGACCAACAUGGUGAAACCUCGUCUUAAAAAAAAAAAAGAGAGAUGCAAUAUUGCUCUGUCACCCAGACUGGAGUUCAGUGGCAGGAUCCUGGCUCACUGAAACCCUCUACCUUCUGGGUUUAAGCAAUUCUCUUGCCUCA